rnacentral:lncRNA from 1 species
CGUCCCAAUUGAAGUUUCAAAAUACAAUGAAAAUCGAAUAAAAUCCACAUGACCUUACUAUAUGUACAUUUCCGCCGUACACUUUUGACCCCAACACGAACUAAAGACAUAUAACCAAGCCAUUUAUCAUUACUCUGGAUCCGACUUCCAUUUUAAUGGCUGGAUCAAUUAUCCGCUUUCUCCUACCUGUUGCAUUUUCAACCAUCAAUAACAUUUUGAAUUUACCACCUACUAAAUAACAUGUUUGGAUGGCAGCUGCCUCAUUGCCUAAAAUGCUCUCAACCUGUGCAAAUAAGAAAAUGAGGUAUCCUAACAAGAUAGACCAACGGACUACACCAGCCCAAGGAUGGGUUAGCUCCUAGCAUAUGGAGUCAUCGAUGAGCAUCCUGAGUCGGAGAACACCCGACCAACCAAAUGUCGUCGCCAUAUGCAUGUCUUUGAGAACCGAAGGAUGGUUCUUGAUAAUGACCGACCAACGAAACUUCAGUGACAAACAAAGAAGACAUUACAAACGAAGUCUAAGAGCCAAAACCUUAAAGAAUAUCACCACCUUCGAAAAGAAUGAUAGACCAAUGAACCACUAGUAAACAAGGAAGAUAGCGAAGAAGGGCGAAGAAUCAUCGAAC